AACGAACGCUGGCGGCAUGCCUUACACAUGCAAGUCGAACGGUAACAGGUCUACGGAUGCUGACGAGUGGCGAACGGGUGAGUAAUACAUCGGAACGUGCCUAGUAGUGGGGGAUAACUACUCGAAAGAGUGGCUAAUACCGCAGGAGAUAUACGGAAGAAAGCAGGGGAUCGCAAGACCUUGUGCUACUAGAGCGGCGGAUGGAAGGUUCGGUAGUUGGUGGGAUAAAAGCUUACCAAGCCUACGUGCUGUAGCUGGUCUGAGAGGACGAUCAGCCACACUGGGACUGAGACACGGCCCAAACUCCUACGGGAGGCAGCAGUGGGGAAUUUUGGACAAUGGGCGCAAGCCUGAUCCAGCAAUGCCGCGUGCAGGAUGAAGGCCUUCGGGUUGUAAACUGCUUUUGUACGGAACGAAAAGCCCUGGGUUAAUACCCUGGGGUCAUGACGGUACCGUAAGAAUAAGCACCGGCUAACUACGUGCCAGCAGCCGCCGUAGCAC
rnacentral:rRNA from 1 species